rnacentral:rRNA from 1 species
GACGAACGCUGGCGGCGUGCUUAACACAUGCAAGUCGAACGGAGUGGCGAACGGGUGAGUAACACGUGGGUGAUCUGCCUUGAACUUCGGGAAAAGCUUGGGGAAAUGGGACUAAUACCGGAUAGGGCAAGAUGAGCUCGCGGCCUAUCAGCUCGUUGGUGGGGGAAGGGCACACGAAGGCGUCGACGGGUAGCCGGCCUGAGAGGGUGUACGGCCACAUUGGGACUGAGGUACGGACCAGUGUCCUACGGGAGGCAGCAGUGGGGAAUAUUGCACAAUGGGCGGAAGCCUGAGGCAGCGACGCCGCGUGGGGGAUGAAGGCCUUCGGGUUGUAAACUCCUUUCGACAGGGACGCGGUACCUGUAUAAGAAGCACCGGCUAACUACGUGCCAGCAGCCGCGGUAAUAC